rnacentral:rRNA from 1 species
GACGAACGCUGGCGGCGUGCUUAACACAUGCAAGUCGAACGAAGAGCGAUGGAAGCUUGCUUCUAUCAAUCUUAGUGGCGAACGGGUGAGUAACGCGUAAUCAACCUGCCCUUCAGAGGGGGACAACAGUUGGAAACGACUGCUAAUACCGCAUACGAUCUAAUCUCGGCAUCGAGGAAAGAUGAAAGGUGGCCUCUAUUUAUAAGCUAUCACUGAAGGAGGGGAUUGCGUCUGAUUAGCUAGUUGGAGGGGUAACGGCCCACCAAGGCGAUGAUCAGUAGCCGGUCUGAGAGGAUGAACGGCCACAUUGGGACUGAGACACGGCCCAGACUCCUACGGGAGGCAGCAGUGGGGAAUCUUCCGCAAUGGACGAAAGUCUGACGGAGCAACGCCGCGUGAGUGAUGACGGCCUUCGGGUUGUAAAGCUCUGUUAAUCGGGACGAAAGGCCUUCUUGCGAACAGUUAGAAGGAUUGACGGUACCGGAAUAGAAAGCCACGGCUAGCUACGUG